rnacentral:rRNA from 1 species
AUACGGAGGGAGCUAGCGUUGUUCGGAAUUACUGGGCGUAAAGGGCGCGUAGGCGGCCGAUCCAGUCAGACGUGAAAGCCCCGGGCUCAACCUGGGAAUUGCGUUUGAAACUGAUUGGCUAGAGUCCGGGAGAGGGUAGUGGAAUUCCCAGUGUAGAGGUGAAAUUCGUAGAUAUUGGGAAGAACACCGGUGGCGAAGGCGGCCACCUGGACCGGUACUGACGCUGAGGCGCGAAAGCGUGGGGAGCAAACAGGAUUAGAAACCCCGGUAGUCC